rnacentral:rRNA from 1 species
GAUGAACGCUGGCGGCGUGCCUAAUACAUGCAAGUCGAGCGAACAGACGAGGAGCUUGCUCUUGUGAAGUUAGCGGCGGACGGGUGAGUAACACGUGGAUAACCUGCCUAUAAGAGUGGGAUAACUUCGGGAAACCGGAGCUAAUACCGGAUAAGAUGUUGAACCGCAUGGUUCGAAAGUGAAAGAAGGUGUUGGUGUAUCCUAUUGAUGGAUCCGCGCCGCAUUAGCUAGUUGGUAAGGUAACGGCUUACCAAGGCAAGGAUGGGUAGCCGACCUGAGAGGGUGAUCGGCCACACUGGGACUGAGACACGGCCCAGACUCCUACGGGAGGCAGCAGUAGGGAAUCUUCCGCAAUGGGCGAAAGCCUGACGGAGCAACGCCGCGUGAGUGAAGAAGGUCUUCGGAUCGUAAAACUCUGUUAUUAUGGAAGAACAAAUGCGUAAGUAACUAUGCACGUCUUGACGGUACCUAAUCAGAAAGCCACGGCUAACUACGUG